rnacentral:lncRNA from 1 species
CCUGAGCGGCUAGCUCAUUUUUAGCUAGUUCCAACCUUCUACCUAAGCCUUUAUUUUCACCCUCAUGCACUCUGUUUUUCAAUGUCAUAUGUGCAGAUAUGUGCAAAAGGGCCGGAGAGGAUAGGAUUGACACAGCCCCUUACUCGUUGACGCCUGACACUCAGAGAGAAGAGCAAGCAGAUUGAGAACAGUCGACAAGAUCAAUCCUUAAAGAAAGGAACAGUCGAAGGCGCAUGGAACAAUGGCACCCCGUGAGAAACAGAGGAUAGACCCCCAGCGGCUGCAAAACAUUCGUCCCGAUACCUCCCUCCAUCUCCAC